UUCUCCCCUUGUGGAUCUCCAGCUGCAAAUAUAUAUAUAUGUGUGUGUGUGUAUAUACUGUAUAUGUCAUUAUGGGUGUAUAGUUCAUGUGUACUUAAACCCAGUUGAUUCAGGAUUGUUAGCAGUCGGCGGUUAUCUUUUAUGAAGUACCUCACAGUAUUGUUCGCAGUUCAGCUGUGGAUGACAAAGUCUCAGUCAGCACUUUAGGUUUGAGACGUUACUAUUAAUAUCUUCAUCAUAAUCAGUCUUGCUCAUUAACUUAUGUAAUUUGCUUUCUUGUGCCUGUGUGUCAGUCAUGAUUCUUACUUCAGGUGAAAGAUGUUGCUGAUGAGCGAAAAUGAAAGGAUUUUUAUUAAGACUGUAACAUGAAAGCUUCAAAGCAGUAAUACUGAUAACAAAAGAAUGCCUUAUUAUACCUGUGAAUUAGUCAAUCAAAAUGAGUGCAGACAGGCAUCCUGGCCCAUCAUCUCAAGAGUCAAAGUUCAGAUGAUAAGACCAAUGUGUCCGCUAAAGCCACCAGCACAUUACACCGCUUAGAUCACACUGAACAACUGCAGUCACCGCAUCUCUUUGCCUUGAUGCUGUCAGAUUACAUGAUUCAGAAUACCGGGAGAUUUUCCAAAGUAACGAGAGUGGGCCGCAUUUUCCAUUCAGUUGUGGUAUGACAGACCAGCCUCUGUUCUGUUUUAGCAGUAAGUUUGAAACGCUCGUAAUUCCUACUUUCCCUGAAGCUGCAUUGUAUGGUUUGUAGUUCCAAUACUAAUUGGUUGUCAGGUAGUGCCCACACAGAACCCACCACCUAUGUCUUAAGGUCAAUUGAAACCCAUUUGAUUUUCUUGUGACAAGACGCAGACCUUUGUGGCCGAGUCACUGGAGAUGUCACAGUACAUGACUGACUAUCCCAGACGUCCCAAGACUGCGUAAAUUAAGUGCCAGUGAAAAUCACUGGAAGAGUCAUGUCGUGUGACAGGGGCUUACGAUGAGUGUUUUGAAAACACUAAAAGUACAAAGGCACUUCACUGGAUAGACACUUGGAAACAGUAGCUGCAGCCCUGGGAACAACUAGCUGUUUGACAAUCAUACCUCUCAUGAGAAGCAAUCAUGGCAUGUGAAACCAUCAGCGUCCACAUGACCUACACAGAGGAACUCAGUCAUUUAUCCAGCAGCAUUACCCAACAAUUUGAAAAAUGAAUUAAAGUAUUCAGAUGAAAAUCUCAAGAUUCUCCCCUUUUGCGCUGUCAUUUCUUGAUGUGUUUUCUGAGCUUACACAUAACUGCUGAACUCCAACAAGACGGUUAGGGUGAGCAGCAAAGAUUUAUCAGUCAUGGAGAGCUUCUGUAAAGAUAUUUGAGCAAACCUGCACUUUGAGAAACAUUCUGAAUUCAUCUUAAAAAAUUCUGACUGGACAAAUGGAGUGGACAGUGGACCUUCUGACUUUCAUCUCCGUGGGCAUCAAUGCAAUAACAAAAUCAUAAUUUGAGAACAUUAGACUCACAUUGAGCAAUUUAGAAAACACUGGUAUUCUUCGUGGAGUUCAUACUAAAUUUGCGUUUUCAACGUUUUUCUUUCUUUUCUUUUUUACUUUACCAUUAGGAGCUUCUAGUUCAGAAAUAAACCUUUCAAGUAAAUUUGAUUGGCUUUUCAGAUCAACAGUAAGCCAUGACUAAGAAUAAGAGGUAAACAUGAGGUGUUGUCUGAAUUUUUUUUCUUACUUCAUAAAUAAAUGUAAAGGUGGGACAGACCCCCAACGCCAGAGCCCUGGGUUCAAAUUGCAGCCUAAGCGCUGUCUGUAGAAGCUUGUGUGCUGUGCGUUCUUCCCACGUCUCUGUCUUUAUUUUACCCCCAAACCAGAGCCUCCAGUUACCGUCCACAUCACAAAAAAGCUUGCAGCUAGCACAUCCCAGUGGGAUCACACAUGCGCCAUGCUGCACUGGUCUGCGGUUAGAAAAGGGCUAUAAACUUGAAAAUGAACGGCUGGACUGGGUUACAGCUUCUCAUACUCGUAGUCCUGCUGGUUUCUCAGCCAGGGUACCCUGUUUGCGGAUGUCACUGUAUGUGUGCUCUGGGAUGAGGGGAUGUCCCAUUACUGAAUUGUAAAAAAGCGAGAUUCUUGACCAUAAAAGUUGACUACUGUGAAGACUGAAAGGUUUGGUCAGGUGCCCUUUUAGUCCAUCAGUGGUGGUCUGCAGCCUUAAUAGAACAUAAAGUUUUGGAUGUGCUUCUCCAUUGUAUCUCCAGCCCAUCCUUCCCUCCAUCCAGUCACGACUUUAGUUUUAUAAAAGAUCAACCCAACAACUCCGCUCUGUAUGUAAACCUGGGUAUGCAAUUUAACAUAAGCUAUACAUUUUUCAAGUAAUAUAUUAUAUGGCCACUCCACUUCUGUUGUUGUUUUCAUUUCAAACGUCCAGUGAGCAGUGGAGCAGGCAAUGGGAUAAAACAACUAAGAGCAAAUAAACUAUUUGUAGAUGUUUCAGAUGGAUUUUAUAUAUGAAAUGUAUAUAUGCAGUGUUGUUAAACAAGUGUAUACAUACAAUUGCAAAGAUUCUCUUAGAUAUUUUGAUUAAAAAAUAAACUAUUAAAAUGCAUUGCAUAUUAUGCAUUGA